AAAUUCUCAAUGCCCACUGUACUACAGUUUGGAAAAGCCUAAUUUUCACUGCAUUACAUGUCCUGUAAAUAAAUGAGCAUCUUCCUGGGUGGGAUGAACUAAACCAGUGUGUUUUUUUUUUCUGAAGAGGAUGAGGAGCUCACCUCAACCCUCCUUCUAUGUAUGCCAUGGAAUGCAGGGAAUGAGCUUCUCUUCAGGGGGCAGGGAAGGAGAACCAGGGCAGUGCCAUUUUCAAUCAGAGCAGCUGUUUGCAAGAUGUGCAGGACAGCAGAGCUUUGAACACUGUGCACCAAACUUCCAAAAGAAGAUGCUGCCACUGCUGAAACAGUCAUUUCAGAUCUUCGAGCCUAAGGGCUAACCUGCCUGGAUAUGAUUUUAUAAUAAUGGCAGCCAGAGAUGUGAACAGCAGACUAAAAGAAUCCAUUCGCAUUGGAAAAACUGUGAGUAUUAAUUUUACUAUAACCACUGCACAAGUACAUGAGACAGAUCUAAAAUGCAUGCAGAUAGGUAAAAAGUUGAGGUGCUAGGUUGGAU
rnacentral:lncRNA from 1 species